UGUUACUGGGCGUGCGCAUUGCUGCCCGCGCUCUGUGAGCCGGGGUGAGAUCCGUCGAGGCGGCGUGUUCUCUGUGCCGUGAGCUUUCUCGCUAGCCGAAUUCAACUGGGUGGACUAUGAGUGGCCAAGUCAGAUCCAGAUCCAGAACCAGAAUCAAAGAAAGAAAAGAUAAUCCAGGGUCUAAACAGCAGGAGCAGCAACCCAGUGAUGAGCAACCGAAAAAAAGGGAGGCACCACCUGAGAGUCAGGAUAUUCUACCUGAUCAUGGGAAGGAAGUUGAAGCAGGACCUGUGGCUCAAGGACGGGACCUGGAAGCUGAUCUCCAGGAGCUGCCUCAGGCAAAGGCUGGGGGUAGAACUGAAGAUGACCCUGAUGCAAGGGGCCAAGUCUACCCUUCUUAGAGCCCAUUAAAAUGCCGGAAGCAGGUGCAGGACUACUCCAGAUUUAAACAAGGACAAGCUGAAACAUGCAGACUACUCUUAUGUGGGGUACUUCACUGUUGUAGUUCUCUCAAUAAAGUGUUACAGACGUUCCACAAAGAAUCUUUUGAAAUCUGUGUUAAACUUCUCCCAAGUAGGGGGUGCCUGGGUCUCAGUCCCUUAAGCAGCUGACUCUUGGUUUCAGCUCAGGUCAUAAUUCAUUGGUCAUGGGAUGGACCCCGAGUCUGGCUCGAUGCUCCUCAGGAAGUCAGCUUGAACGAUUCUGUCCCUCUGCUCCUGUUCCCUCCGUCCCUCCCUCCCUCCGUCCCUCCCUCUCUCUCUCUCUCUCUCUUAAAUUAAUAAACCUUUAAAGGAAAACUUAUUCUGAGUAGUCGAUGCUAUCAAAAUUAGGUCACUUUUUGAAAUGUUAUAGUCCGAUUGAGCUGAUAUACACAGAUAUAUCUGUACAUUGAAUUUCUGUCCAGCAACCGUGCUACGUAUGCUUUAAUAAGUGUACAUCGACCUCCGUUUUGAGUUUCAACAGACACAAUGAUACCAUCUUUGAACACUUGACAGUUUGUUUCUGCCAAUUUAAACCUUUCCCCUCUUUUUCUCCUUUGACAACAUUGGACAGACCCACCCAGUACAAUGUUGAAAGAACUGGCCAUGAUGGACAGCCUUGUCUUAUUCCUGAUAAAUUAGAUAAUAUUUAACAUUUUGUCUAUUUACUGUGAAGGAAAGGAAGUUCCAUUCUUACUCUCGUUUACCAUGAAUAUUUGUAUUGAAAAUAUGUUGACUUCCAAUAAACACUUGCAGUACGUUUAUUCAGA